rnacentral:tRNA from 3 species
GCGGGCGUAACUCAGUUGGUAGAGUGCCAGCCUUCCAAGCUGGAUGUCGCAAGUUCGAACCUUGUCGCCCGCUCCA